AUGAACUUUAACAAACCGCCUCCGCAUCCCUCGCCUUCCUCCCCAUCCCCGGCCCUGCACACACCGUUCCGCGCCGUCCGCUCGCGUCAGGUCAGCUGUCAACACAACUCUUUGUGUCUCCGUCGGCACAAGAGGGGUCCCCAGCCCCUCUCAGAGAAAUUCGAACGAUGGCUGGAGAACACGCGCGCGCGCGCCCGUGACCGAGUGACAUUUCCUGCGGAGCCGAGCCGCCCGGGCACCCCGGGCAAACGCCCGGCCACCGCCGGACGCUCCCAACUUUCCACCCGGGGCUCGGCUCUCUCCAUCCUCGCGCGUCACCUCCGCGCCUCCCUACCUGCCGCCCCUAACCCCGCGCCCGGGAGACCCCCCCCCUUGGCGGCCCGCGGGCUCCAGGAGACGCUCCCGAGGGGCGCUCCCCGCCUCCCGCAGCCCCCCGGCUCGGGCUCCCUCGCUCCCGCCACAAAGGCGGCGGUGACAGGCCUCUGGCCUUGGGGCGCGGACCGCACGGACUGGGUCUCCUCGUGGGGCUUGGGGCUGGCACGGGCGGCCAGCCUCGCCGUACAAACGCAGCGGCGCUCACGCCCCGCGCUCCGCCGGGCUAGCCCUCCAGAAAAAGUCAGCCGCGCGCCGGCCCGCGCAGGCAGGGUGUGCACAGCCCGCCAAAGGGCAGCGCCGGCGGCGCGGCGGCGCGCGCUCGCGCCCGGCUGGCCACCUCUCAUCACCACCACCCCCGCGCCCCGCCGCCUCCCCGCGCCCCGAGUCCCCACAGCCGCUCACCUGGCCCUGGCAGCGCGCGAGGGCCGAGGACCGGGGGUGGCCCUCGCCUGGGUCGGGGCUCGUCUCCCCACCCCCAGCCGGGUGGCGGCGCCGCGCUCCGCUCGCUCAGCCGCGCUCCUCCGAGGAGCUAGCGCCGCCGCUGGCUGGCGUCUGUGUGUGCCGGGCAAGCUGGCCGCGCGCCCAGGUCCCCGGGGCGGAGCGAGGCGGCGGCCGCAGCGGCCGGAGGCGGAUUCCUCAGGUGCGGCCCCUCCCGCUUCCCCGGGACCUCGGCGGCGGCGGGGACCCCCGGACCCCCCCCUCCGCCCCGCCUCUCGGCCGACCGCCCUUCCAGGCGCCCCCUUCCCGACCCUCGCGGAGUGCAGUGGGGAGUGGGCUUGCGGCCCCCCGCCCCGGGUGAAUCCCCUCGCCCCGGGGGCUCGCGCCCCCAUUCCCAAACUCGUGCGGCCCCCGGGGGGCACGUGUGUGGCCACUGCGGGGACGUGUAUGUCCACUGCGGAGAGUGGAGGGGUCUUCUCGGGAGAAGGACUGUCCCCCACAAACGCCCCCGGGGCGGCUGACGGGCUCAGCCGAGAAGAAAAAUUAUUUUCUCGCCGAUUCCACCUUCAUUCACAGAGUGCUUUCGCCGCGCUGCGGGAUUGCUUUCUCUGUCCGCUGGACGGCGGCCAAAGGGCCCUAAGCGUGAGCUCGAAGUGGGCGAUCGGGGGGUCGAAACCCUUCGGCCUUUUGCUUGAAGUGGGGCUGGGGGGGUGGGGCGGGGACGGGACGCGCACAAAUCCCAAGUGA
rnacentral:lncRNA from 1 species